UUUCCGUAGGUGAACCUGCGGAAGGAUCAUUAAUGAGUUGUCAUGGGGUUCGAUGCUGGCAGCCAGUUUUUGGAUGCAUGUGCUUGCCCUAACAAUCAUCUUCUUCCAAACACCUGUGCACAUUUUUGAGGGAGUCUUGAGUUGGUUGCCGCUCUUGGGUGAUUUUCUCACAUUCCCUUAAAUCAUUAUACGCUAUUAACAAUGUUGAACGUGCUCUGUGCCGCAAGGCCAUUAAUAUAAUACAACUUUUAACAACGGAUCUCUUGGCUCUCGCAUCGAUGGAGAACGCAGC
rnacentral:misc_RNA from 1 species